GACGAACGCUUGCGGCGUGCUUAACACAUGCAAGUCGAACGGAAAGGCCCUGCUUUUGUGGGGUGCUCGAGUGGCGAACGGGUGAGUAACACGUGAGUAACCUGCCCUUGACUUUGGGAUAACUUCAGGAAACUGGGGCUAAUACCGGAUAGGAGCUCCUGCUGCAUGGUGGGGGUUGGAAAGUUUCGGCGGUUGGGGAUGGACUCGCGGCUUAUCAGCUUGUUGGUGGGGUAGUGGCUUACCAAGGCUUUGACGGGUAGCCGGCCUGAGAGGGUGACCGGCCACAUUGGGACUGAGAUACGGCCCAGACUCCUACGGGAGGCAGCAGUGGGGAAUAUUGCACAAUGGGCGGAAGCCUGAUGCAGCAACGCCGCGUGCGGGAUGACGGCCUUCGGGUUGUAAACCGCUUUCGCCUGUGACGAAGCGUGAGUGACGGUAAUGGGUAAAGAAGCACCGGCUAACUACGUGCCAGCAGCCGCGGUGAUACGUAGGGUGCGAGCGUUGUCCGGAUUUAUUGGGCGUAAAGGGCUCGUAGGUGGUUGAUCGCGUCGGAAGUGUAAUCUUGGGGCUUAACCCUGAGCGUGCUUUCGAUACGGGUUGACUUGAGGAAGGUAGGGGAGAAUGGAAUUCCUGGUGGAGCGGUGGAAUGCGCAGAUAUCAGGAGGAACACCAGUGGCGAAGGCGGUUCUCUGGGCCUUUCCUGACGCUGAGGAGCGAAAGCGUGGGGAGCGAACAGGCUUAGAUACCCUGGUAGUCCACGCUGUAAACGGUGGGUACUAGGUGUGGGGUCCAUUCCACGGGUUCCGUGCCGUAGCUAACGCUUUAAGUACCCCGCCUGGGGAGUACGGCCGCAAGGCUAAAACUCAAAGGAAUUGACGGGGCCCCGCACAAGCGGCGGAGCAUGCGGAUUAAUUCGAUGCAACGCGUAGAACCUUACCUGGGUUUGACAUGGAUCGGGAGUGCUCAGAGAUGGGUGUGCCUCUUUUGGGGUCGGUUCACAGGUGGUGCAUGGCUGUCGUCAGCUCGUGUCGUGAGAUGUUGGGUUAAGUCCCGCAACGAGCGCAACCCUUGUUCACUGUUGCCAGCACGUUAUGGUGGGGACUCAGUGGAGACCGCCGGGGUCAACUCGGAGGAAGGUGGGGAUGACGUCAAGUCAUCAUGCCCCUUAUGUCCAGGGCUUCACGCAUGCUACAAUGGCUGGUACAGAGAGUGGCGAGCCUGUGAGGGUGAGCGAAUCUCGGAAAGCCGGUCUCAGUUCGGAUUGGGGUCUGCAACUCGACCUCAUGAAGUCGGAGUCGCUAGUGAUCGCAGAUCAGCAACGCUGCGGUGAAUACGUUCCCGGG
rnacentral:rRNA from 1 species